UACAGAGGGGGCGAGCGUUGUUCGGAAUUACUGGGCGUAAAGGGCGCGUAGGCGGCCAACUAAGUCAGACGUGAAAUCCCUCGGCUCAACCGGGGAACUGCGUCUGAUACUGGAUGGCUUGAAUUCGGGAGAGGGAUGCGGAAUUCCAGGUGUAGCGGUGAAAUGCGCAGAUAUCAGGAGGAACACCGGUGGCGAAGGCGGGACUCUGGGCCGAUACUGACGCUGAGGAGCGAAAGCGUGGGGAGCGAACAGG
rnacentral:rRNA from 1 species